ensembl:lncRNA
AAGGCCAUUGCUGCAGUGGUAUGCUAAUUGCUCUUAUGUGCUCGACAUACUCUGGAUUUUAUAGAAGUCCAUGUAACAUACUUACUUAGAGAUACAGGGAAAGGCCGGGCGUUGGUGCACGCCUUUAAUCCCAGCACUUGGGAGGCAGAGGCAGACAGAUCUCUUGUGAGUUCGAGGCCAGCCUGGUCCCCAGAGCGAGUGCCAGGAUAGGCUCCAAAGCUACACAGAGAAAUCCUGUCUCAAAAACAAAACAAAACAAAACAAAAAAAGACAGAGAGAGAGAGAGAGAGCUACAGGGAAAGAAAUGGUAGCAGAUGUUCUGGGAUAAACAAGUGUCUGUGAGAAGGCAACAGGCAGAAUUUAACUGCAAAGAAAACAAGAAAAGGCAAUGAGAAAAAUUACAAGUGAGGCAGUGGUCAAGACUAGCUUUGGGCUGUGGUAGAUGACACUGGAUUAAUUUGACUCUAGCACAUUUGACAAUUGACCACACCUUGUUUCAUUCUUCACUUUCUUCACUGGUCACCACGCCCUGCUGCUUAUCUCAACCCCCUUCUCAGUUUCCUUCCCUUCUCACCUUGAUUGUGGUGUCCCAGCAUUCACCUUGGGGCCUCUUCCUCUAUGGUACUUGAAGUCAUCCCAAGACUUUUUUUUUUUUUUUAAUGUGUCUAUGUGAGCACGGUGGCUUAUGCAUUUAAUCCCUAGAAGACAGAGGCAGGGAGAUCUCUGUGAGGUGAUGCACACCUCUAAUCCCAGCACUCUGGAGGCACAGGCUGGUAGAUCCCCGUGAGUUCAAGGGUAGCCUGGACAACAUAGUGAGUUUCAUGGGAGCCAGGGAUAUAUAAAGAGACCCUGUCUCAAAAAAAAAAAAAAACCAAAAAGUGUAUGUGGGUAGGCUUUUGUGAAGAUGCCAGAGCCCACAGUCACCAGAUGGUGUCAGAUCCCCCCAAACCCUAUUGUUAGAGGUGACUGGGUGCUGGGAACUGAAUCCAGGUCCUCUAUAAGAGCAGCCAAGGUUCUUACCUACUGAGCUGUCUUCCCAGACCCACGCUUUGGAACAUUUAACACCCUCGUUAUCACCAGCACUCAGCCACCUACUUGACAUCUGUGUCAGGUAUAUAGCAAUUCCACCUUGAGCGGCAGAGCAGAAUUCUUGACUCCCCCUGCCUCAUACCACCACCUGUCCCAUUCUUCCCCAUCUUAAAUGCUACUCACCCCUCUGGUGCUGAAAUGUGUAUGUCAACAUUAGCACUACACUUGCCCUUCUCCACCAUCCUGUGUCCGUCAGUAAGUCUCGGAGAGUCUGUCUACCUUAAAAUGUAACACAUCUGUGAUAAUCUGUCACCCUCACUUCUGUAACAUAAUGCUCACCGGCCAGCCAACAUCUCAUCCAGUUCACUGCAGUAGCCUUUCACGUGUCUCCCUACGUCCCUUCUCGGGGGAAAGCUGAAUCAACUGCAGCUGAGUUGGAAACCAUACUCUCAAGUGUAUCCUUUGCUGUUUCAACCCUGUGUGCUAUUUAAGACACAUGAAUAUGAAACAGCGUAUGUCCUUUAUCUGAAAUUACUAGGUGUUCUGCUCUUUACUUGACGUCUUCCUGAACUAGAGUUGGCUUCCGCCCUCCGUAGCACAUUCCCGCUUGUGUUCAUUGCACCAUAGCUAUUCCUUGGUAGACUAUAAAGCUCUGUGAGGGCUGGAACUGUCUGUGUUAUCCACCAGUGCCUAACAAUACUGUGAAAGAUUCAUCAAGUGGCAGACAGAUCUCUUGAGUUCGAGGAUGGUCAGGGUUACACAGAGAAAUCCUGUCUCAAAAAAAAAAAAAAAUUCAUUAGGUGAAUAAAGAUAAUACUUACUUAAGCACAGGCCAGUACUGAAGGUACUGAGAUUUCUGCAUGGAGGGGACCUUGUAGUUGAGGUAGCAGGCAAAGGGGGAGGCAAGGAUGCUGGGAAGUUAGAGCCAAAAAAAAAAAAAAAUUCAUAGACUUCGCAGGGACCCAGGGUGAUAAUGGACCAGACCUUGGGAUUUGGCGAGUAAAUACUUGGGACCCUCAUAAGAGCUGUUUUGAGUUGAAAAUUGGUUACGCAUAUUUAGGAAAUAAAAUACGAUUUAGUGAGGAAAAAAGAGGUUAGAGUACAGCUGAGCCUCACAUGGGAGAGAGAAAGCUGAGUUUUAUGUGUCUAGGAGAUCCAGCGCAAUAUGCACAGGUCUAGGAACCAGUGGGAUACAAGAGUAAUGAUCACCCUCACAGGGUAUCGAGUGGUCUGGGGAGAGGAAGGAGUUUCACAGUGAGGAUGCAAACAAUGAUCCCUGCAGGCAUUUCUAACUAGUGAAACCCCUGGUGUAAAAAAGACACAUUGGGGUCAGGCGGCAGUGGUGCAUGCCUUUAGUCCCAGCACUAAGGAGGCAGAGGCAGGUGGAUCUCUUUGAGUUUGAGGACAGCCUGGUCUACACAGAGAAACCCUGUCUCGAAAAAAGAAAGUGACAUUGGCCUUUGUCACUGAGGAUGACACCCAGUCUUCACCAGGAAGCAUGGCCUCAGUGGAACUAGGCAGUGUCUGGUCAGAAGGCAGAAGCGUGGCCAUGGUCUUUACCAGGAAGCAUGGCCUCAGUGGAACUAGGCAAAGUGUCUGGUCAGAAGGCAGAGGCGUGGCCAUGUGUUUGAAUGCAGCUUCUUAGGGAUUGGGUGGUGGCGGGCCUUGGGUUCAACACUUCCACCUGCACCCAAAUUACACUGACGCUGCUGGCCUUAGAUCUCACCCUCUCGGUUCCAUGAGACAUCCCCCUCUUUGAAAUAGCAUCAAGAUAUGCUGCACAUUUGGCUUUACCUUACAGUGAGAUCUGUGUAAGAAAAGUUGAAUACCCUUUGUUCUGAAGUGAGGUGGCAUGUGAUUGCAGUGCACACUUGCUGUAUGGAAUUCAAAUUCUCUGUAUUCCUCCAGCCUCCCUCCCAGCACUAAGCAAAGUGCUGUCUUUGAAGUGUGAAUCUAUAUUGCUCUGGAGGAAGAGAGGAUAGGACACUUCUGAGAGCAGCUUGUGGUCUUAAUCAAGUAUUUACCUCAACUGAAUACUUACUGGUUGGUUAUUUUGGGAGUUCCUGUUAGUUGAUUCAGAGAGACUUGAGACAUUCUCUUAAAAUCCUUCAUAUUGUAUUAUGCAUUAGUAAAGGUAAGAGAUGUUUUUAAAGUAUGUACAUCUGACAAGGAAAUGCUCGUUUUGUUUUGUUCACAGGGCCUCACUGUGUUGCUCUGGCUGGCUUGGAUACAUAACUCCGAGUAAUCUUGAACCCAUGGCAACUUUUUUUGCCUCAGUCUAAGUGCUGAUGCAGGCAGUUACAGCCCACUUGCCAUGGUGCCACAGUGCUGGGAUGCUUCGUUCUCUAUGUACCAGUGCCGAGAGUGGGGCCUGAUUAAAGGUGGUUGAACUUGAGAGCAGAGUGGAUUCUCAGAAAAGGGAGUGUUCAGCCACCUUUACUCUCUUUGUUCUGCUAUAGGAUGUUGGACACAAAUGCCCUCAGCAGCUGCUACUCACUCAGUCUCGAACUUGCUGGUCCUGAGAACCAUGAGUUGAGACAUUCCUUUCAUUAUCAAGUACCGGACCUGGUAUUCUGUGACAGCAGCAUAAGGA